rnacentral:rRNA from 1 species
UACGAACUGUGCAAACGUUAUUCGGAAUCACUGGGCUUACAGGGUGCGUAGGCGGCCUGUUAAGUAGGGUGUGAAAGCCCCCGGCUCAACCGGGGAAUGGCGCUCUAAACUGGCGGGCUGGAGUGAGAUAGGGGUGUGCGGAACUUCCGGUGGAGCGGUGAAAUGUGUUGAUAUCGGAAGGAACGCCGGUGGCGAAAGCGGCACACUGGAUCUCAACUGACGCUGAGGCACGAAAGCCAGGGGAGCGAACGGG